rnacentral:rRNA from 1 species
AUGAACGCUAGCGGCAGGCUUAACACAUGCAAGUAGAACGGUAACAGUCCUUCGGGAGCUGACGAGUUGCGAACGGGUGCGUAACGCGUAUGCAACCUACCUAUAACUGAGAGAUAGCCCAUAGAAAUGUGGAUUAAUACCUCAUAACAACUUAAGAUGGCAUCAUCUAAAGUUUAAAACUCCGGUGGUUAUAGAUGGGCAUGCGUGACAUUAGCUAGUUGGUGAGGUAACUGCUCACCAAGGCUACGAUGUCUAGGGGUUCUGAGAGGAUGAUCCCCCACACUGGUACUGAGACACGGACCAGACUCCUACGGGAGGCAGCAGUGAGGAAUAUUGCGCAAUGGAGGAAACUCUGACGCAGCCAUGCCGCGUGCAGGAUGACUGCCCUAUGGGUUGUAAACUGCUUUUAUAUAGGAAGAACUACAGAUACGUGUAUUUGUUUGACGGUACUAUACGAAUAAGGACCGGCUAACUCCGUGCCAGCAGCCGCGGUAAUACGGAGGGUCCAAGCGUUAUCCGGAUUUAUUGGGUUUAAAGGGUCCGUAGGCGGGUCAUUAAGUCAGUGGUGAAAUCCUACAGCUCAACUGUAGAACUGCCCAUUGAAACUGGUGACCUUGAAUAUAAUUGAAGUAGGCGGAAUGUGUCAUGUAGCGGUGAAAUGCUUAGAUAUGCCACAGAACACCGAUUGCGAAGGCAGCUUACUAAGUUAUUAUUGACGCUGAGGGACGAAAGCGUGGGUAGCGAACAGGAUUAGAUACCCUGGUAGUCCACGCCGUAAACGAUGUAUACUCGUUGCUAGCGAUACACAGUUAGUGACCAAGCGAAAGUAUUAAGUAUACCACCUGGGGAGUACGAUCGCAAGAUUGAAACUCAAAGGAAUUGACGGGGGCCCGCACAAGCGGUGGAGCAUGUGGUUUAAUUCGAUGCAACGCGAAGAACCUUACCAGGUCUUGACAUCCUGCGAACUUUCUAGAGAUAGAUUGGUGCCUUCGGGAACGCAGUGACAGGUGCUGCAUGGCUGUCGUCAGCUCGUGUCGUGAGAUGUUGGGUUAAGUCCCGUAACGAGCGCAACCCUUGUCCUUAGUUGCCAGCGCGUAAUGGCGGGAACUCUAAGGAGACUGCCGGUGACAAACCGGAGGAAGGUGGGGACGACGUCAAGUCAUCAUGGCCCUUACGACCUGGGCUACACACGUGCUACAAUGGCCGGUACAGAGGGCUGCAACCCCGCGAGGGUGAGCUAAUCCCACAAAACCGGUCGUAGUCCGGAUUGGAGUCUGCAACUCGACUCCAUGAAGUCGGAAUCGCUAGUAAUCGUGAAUCAGAAUGUCACGGUGAAUACGUUCCCGGGCCUUGUACACACUG